GAACCAUCAGCGACGGCUGCAUCGGGCAGCCUGGUGCCUCUGCGGGGGUCUUCGUGUCAGAAGCCUGCGUUGUGGCUGCGGAUGAGAUGUCCGGGGCAGGCGAUGGACCUCAGCUCGCAGCCCGCCGGAGCUGCCGCCACGGUGCCGAGCCAGGCUCCCGCCUCCACCAUUCCUUGAGCCUCUGGAGUCCUUAGUCACGACUCAAGGCCACGGGGUCCCAGGGGAGCUCACACAGGAUCCUAUUCAGCCUGGUUUCAUCUGAGGCUGGAAAGAGUGGCUCAGGAUUCUUCCGUGCUGUGUGAGCUGGGUGCAGUCCCCUGUGCAUCCACCGAGCCCAAGGCCCACACCAAGGACGGCUGACAGCCAGGGUGACUGAUGACCUGGACGACCAGUAAGAAGCCCCCGGACGGAACAACUGGCCCUGAGGAAAGUGGACACAGCUCAGGGAACAUCGAGAAAUGCGUAA